rnacentral:tRNA from 1 species
GUCAGGAUGGCCGAGCGGUCUAAGGCGCCAGACUCAAGGUGUUUGAAAUCUUGCUUUCUGAACGAAAGUGUUGAGCGUUCUGGUCCUCUCUGAGGGCGUGGGUUCGAAUCCCACUUCUGACA